CCAAUAGCGUAUAUUAAAGUUGUUGCAGUUAAAAAGCUCGUAGUUGAAUUUCGGGAUUGACGUGACGGUCGUGCCUUAAGGGGCGUGAACUGUCGCCGUUGAUUUCUCACCUUCUGGAGAAGCUCGAUGUCCUUAAUUGGAUGUCUUGUGGAACCAGGACCUUUACCUUGAAAAAAUUAGAGUGUUUAAAGCAGGCAUUUUGCUCGAAUACAUUAGCAUGGAAUAAUAGAAUAGGACGGCAUGGUUCUAUUUUGUUGGUUUCUAGGAUCACAGUAAUGAUUAAUAGGGAUAGUUGGGGGCAUUAGUAUUCAAUUGUCAGAGGUGAAAUUCUUGGAUUUAUUGAAGACUAACUACUGCGAAAGCAUUUGCCAAGGAUGUUUUCAUUAAUCAAGAACGAAAGUCAGAGGUUCGAAGACGAUCAGAUACCGUCGUAGUUCUGACCAUAAACGAUGUCGACUAGCGAUCCGCGGUCGUUGUUCAUAUGACCUCGCGGGCAGCCUUCG
rnacentral:rRNA from 1 species